rnacentral:rRNA from 1 species
UAGGGAAUAUUGGACAAUGGGGGCAACCCUGAUCCAGCCAUGCCGCGUGAGUGAAGAAGGCCCUCGGGUUGUAAAGCUCUUUUGUCCGGAAAGAAAAGCUUCGGGUUAAUACCCCGGGGUUCUGACGGUACCGGAAGAAUAAGCACCGGCUAACUUCGUGCCAGCAGCCGCGGUAAUACGAAGGGUGCAAGCGUUACUCGGAAUUACUGGGCGUAAAGCGUGCGUAGGUGGUUGUUUAAGUCUGAUGUGAAAGCCCUGGGCUCAACCUGGGAAGGGCAUUGGAAACUGGGCAGCUAGAGUGCGGUAGAGGGUAGUGAAAUUCCCGGUGUAGCAGUGAAAUGCGUAGAGAUCGGGAGGAACAUCUGUGGCGAAGGCGACUGCCUGGACCAGCACUGACACUGAGGCACGAAAGCGUGGGGGGCAAACA